rnacentral:lncRNA from 1 species
UGACCAACAUCACCGAAGUCACAACACUCACCAAAUGUCACCAAGGGCAGCAGAAAUACAGAGUAUUUCACCGUAUCAUUACUACCUGAGGCCGUUUUGACAGCCCCCACAAAGAUGAGAAUCUGAGAAUUGGUGAUCUAUGACUUGCCUGAGAGCUCUCCUACCGAGUUCAGCAAAUAGCAGGCACGCAGAAACGGGGAGGGGAAUGUCGGUGCAAAGAACACCCACAAAAGAGCUAUUUGCCUUCAAGUGGCUGGCGAAGUUGUGCCACAGCUUACAACAGCGAAUUAGAAGAGAAAUUGUGUCUGGAUUAACAACAUGUCGUAGUAAGGGGGAAACGCAGUUUAAGCAUCAAAAGACUCCGUUCUAGUUCUGGCUUUGCAACUAACCAACCGGAUGACCUUUCACAAUCACCUCAGCUUUUUGGAUCUCAGUUUCCUAAAAGGGAAAUAUGCAAGUUAAGGCUCUGAAAAUCUAGUUCGGCAUUCACUGGCUCUACAAUCGGGCAUUAUUUUCUUUUGGAAUCACCCACUCAGAGACCACAGAAAAGUCAAAGACUGCACUUGUUAUGAAUAAAGUGUGCUUUGACGGGAAGGGCUGGGUUAGA